rnacentral:lncRNA from 1 species
UUAAAACUGCGCUGGGUGUACCUGCUCAUCAAACACCCGAUCUUGCAAGACCAUUAUUAAAAGUCUCGCUUUUGCUGUUCUUGGAUCUCUGAGUCCAUUCUUUGCAUUUGGAUGGGCAAAGGUGCACACCUGAAAGAACUCUUCAGCUACCGGAUAUGAACAUGAAGGACUGCUGGUACCCACACUCAGUCAAUGACUCACAGGAGCCUUGUUACUUUGGCAAGAAUUCUAUGUUCAUUUAAUAAGUUUGCAGAGACGGACGGAAAUCUGCUUUAUUACUCUCAUCCCUCAGCCCGGAAAGCCAAAUCCUUUAUCAGUACAGCUGCUGCUUCAUUCCACAUGUCUGAAGACACCGCUGUCUCCUCAAUCAGCAGCUUUGGCAGAGAGUCAGGUUCUGGCAGGGGUGAUGUAGAAUGGAGAGAGGUAUUUGCUUACAGCGGGUGAAAAAUGUUUAAGAGAAUAAAAGGAAAACUUUAAACAGUGUCAAGUCCAAUAAAAGAGAGAGGACAUCGGGGGCCAUCCAGCUGCCCACAAUCUGCUCACAGGUAAAGAAAUGGAAAUUUGUCAUUAACAGAAGAUAAAAACAGAGGGUGGAAGGAGGAAAUUGAAGCACAUUCUUGGACAAGAAUAAAAUCAUUAAAAUGUUAACAAAAGGCAAAUAGCACUUUAACCUACCUUUGUCUGCAAUCCAUACUGCUCUGAGACACCUAACACUCAGGUUUGAAGAACUGCAAUCUCCAGUCUGCUGACAUGGGUAGAAUCUCGUUUGUCACCUGUAUAUGACAGCACCAAUGAAAUGGUGAUUUGGCAUUCUUGGCUUGUCAGUGUAUGAAAUACCAUGUAGCAAAACAAAACUAUGUUUCCAAAGGCUGGAGGGCAAUGGCGCGAUCUCGGCUCACUGCAACCUCCUCCUUGUGUGUUCAAGCGAUUCUCCUGCCUCCGCUUCCUGAGUAGCUGGGAUUGCAGACGCCUGCCACCACGCCCAGCUAAUGUUUGUAUUUUUAGUAGAGACGGGGUUUCACCAUGUUGACCAGGCUGGUCUCAAACUCCUGACCUCAGAUGAUCCACCUGCCUGGGCCUCCCAAAGUGCUAAGAUUACAGGUGUGAGCCACUGUGCGGGGCCACAAGUUGUUUCUUAUAUCCUAUAUAUCCUAAUAAAGAAUACAACUGCCAAGAAGACAUUUGAGGGAGAAAAUAAACAUUGACUCUUUGUAUCAUAGUUAUACUGCUUCAUCUCAAAUCCUAACAAGUUAUUAAUGUUUGUAUUUUUAGUAAACGUAACUAGAUGAAAACUACUAAAGUGGGCAAAUAAGAAAUGUUAGUUUAAAAAAAAUAGAAUGGAAGAAGAUGUUUGAAAACUAUAGCAUUUAUUAAAUAGUAAAUAUUAAAAUACAAAGUUUGAAAAUAUAGUCUAUAUGAUUAAAGAAAAAUAAUAAAGCACUAUCAAGAUACUAUCUCUUUUUUCACCCUGUUUGUUAAAUGUAUUAUAAAAAUGUGAAGUCA